CCUACGGGAGGCAGCAGUAGGGAAUCUUCCACAAUGGGCGCAAGCCUGAUGGAGCAACACCGCGUGAGUGAAGAAGGGUUUCGGCUCGUAAAGCUCUGUUGUUGGAGAAGAACGUGCGUGAGAGUAACUGUUCACGCAGUGACGGUAUCCAACCAGAAAGUCACGGCUAACUACGUGCCAGCAGCCGCGGUAAUACGUAGGUGGCAAGCGUUAUCCGGAUUUAUUGGGCGUAAAGCGAGCGCAGGCGGUUGCUUAGGUCUGAUGUGAAAGCCUUCGGCUUAACCGAAGAAGUGCAUCGGAAACCGGGCAACUUGAGUGCAGAAGAGGACAGUGGAACUCCAUGUGUAGCGGUGGAAUGCGUAGAUAUAUGGAAGAACACCAGUGGCGAAGGAGGCCUGCUGGGCUCUAACUGACGCUGAGGCACGAAAGCGUGGGUAGCAAACAGGAUUAGAUACCCGGGUAGUC
rnacentral:rRNA from 1 species